AACGAACGCUGGCGGCAUGCCUAACACAUGCAAGUCGAACGAGAUCUUCGGAUCUAGUGGCGCACGGGUGCGUAACGCGUGGGAAUCUGCCCUUGGGUUCGGAAUAACAGUGAGAAAUUACUGCUAAUACCGGAUGAUGUCUUCGGACCAAAGAUUUAUUGCCCAGGGAUGAGCCCGCGUAGGAUUAGCUAGUUGGUGUAGGUAAAAGCUUACCAAGGCGAUGAUCAGUAGCUGCUUUGAGAGAAGAGGCAGCCACACUGGGAUUGAGAUACAGAACAGACUUCUACGGGAGGCAGCAGUGGGGAAUAUUUGGCAAUGGGUGAAAGCCGAGCAAUACCGCGUGAAGGAAGAAGGCCUUUGGGUUGUAAACUUCUUUAGUCAACGAAGAAUAUAUGACUUUAGUUGAAAAAUAAGCACCGGCUAAUUACGUGCCAGCCGCCGCCGUAA
rnacentral:rRNA from 1 species